CGGCGGACGGGUGAGUAACGCGUGGGUAACCUGCCUCAUACAGGGGGAUAACAGUUAGAAAUGACUGCUAAUACCGCAUAAGACCACAGCACCGCAUGGUGCGGGGGUAAAAACUCCGGUGGUAUGAGAUGGACCCGCGUCUGAUUAGCUAGUUGGCAAGGUAACGGCUUACCAAGGCGACGAUCAGUAGCCGACCUGAGAGGGUGACCGGCCACAUUGGGACUGAGACACGGCCCAA
rnacentral:rRNA from 1 species